rnacentral:rRNA from 1 species
AUUGAACGCUGGCGGCAGGCCUAACACAUGCAAGUCGAACGAGUGGCGCACGGGUGAGUAAUGUCUGGGAAACUGCCUUAUGGAUGGGGAUAACUCCUGGAAACGGUAGCUAAUCCCGCAUACCAUUAGCUGUUCCCAGAUGGGAUUAGCUUGUUGGUGGGGUAACGGCUCACCAAGGCGACGAUCCCUAGCUGGUCUGAGAGGAUGACCAGCCACACUGGAACUGAGACACGGUCCAGACUCCUACGGGAGGCAGCAGUGGGGAAUAUUGCACAAUGGGCGAAAGCCUGAUGCAGCCAUGCCGCGUGUAUGAAGAAGGCCUUCGGGUUGUAAAGUACUUUCAGCGGGGAGGCGUUACCCGAAGAAGAAGCACCGGCUAACUCCGUGCCAGCCGCCGCGGUAAUAC